rnacentral:rRNA from 1 species
GUUACUGCUAUCGAGGUUCGACUAAGCCAUGCGAGUCGAAUGUAGCAAUACAUGGCGAACUGCUCAGUAACACGUGGACAACCUGCCCUUAGGUUGGGUAUAAACCCGGGAAACUGGGUAUAAUACCCGAUAGGUCUCGAUUGCUGGAAUGCAUCGAGAUUUAAAGCUCCGGCGCCUAAGGAUGGGUCUGCGGCCUAUCAGGUAGUAGUGGGUGUAGCGUACCUACUAGCCUACGACGGGUACGGGUUGUGAGAGCAAGAGCCCGGAGAUGGAUUCUGAGACACGAAUCCAGGCCCUACGGGGUGCAGCAGGCGCGAAAACUUUACAAUGCUGGCAACAGCGAUAAGGGAACCUCGAGUGCCAGGUUACAAAUCUGGCUGUCGAGAUGCCUAAAAAGCAUUUCAUAGCAAGGGCCGGGCAAGACCGGUGCCAGCCGCCGCGGUAACACCGGCGGCUCGAGUGGUAACCGUUAUUAUUGGGUCUAAAGGGUCUGUAGCCGGCCGGAUAAGUCUCUUGAGAAAUCUGGCAGCUUAACUGUCAGGCUUUCAGGAGAUACUGUCUGGCUCGAGGCCGGGAGAGGUGAGAGGUACUUCAGGGGUAGGGGUGAAAUCUUGUAAUCCUUGAAGGACCACCAGUGGCGAAGGCGUCUCACCAGAACGGACCUGACGGCAAGGGACGAAAGCUAGGGGCACGAACCGGAUUAGAUACCCGGGUAGUCCUAGCCGUAAACGAUACUCGCUAGGUGUCGGCCACGGUGCGACCGUUGUCGGUGC